rnacentral:rRNA from 1 species
UACGUAGGGGGCAAGCGUUGUCCGGAUUCACUGGGUGUAAAGGGCGCGCAGGCGGGUUAGCAAGUCAGAGGUGAAAUCCUACAGCUUAACUGUAGAACUGCCUUUGAAACUGUUAAUCUUGAGUGCGGAAGAGAGAGACGGAAUUCCAGGUGUAGCGGUGAAAUGCGUAGAUAUCUGGAAGAACACCAGUUGCGAAGGCGGUCUCUUGGUCCGUUAAUGACCUUCAGGCGCGAAAGCGUGGGGAGCAAACAGG